UAGCCUCUCCAGGGGAGUAACUGAAUCUCGUUUAAUUUUGUUUCCUUAGCUCCAGGAAAGGAAUUCACAUCAAGUAGACACCUAAGGAAAUGAGCAUUGGAGUGACACUCAAAGAGCCCUGAGACAGGGAGACGUGGAAAACAGAUGUGCAUUUGGAGGUGAAAGAAGCUGAAAAAUCGUUGCUGGCAGUGCUGUUCCUGGAAGGGAGACGAAGGCGGGAAGACACAUUUGGGUUACAGGAAGAGGCGGCCCCUCAUGCAGCAUCUUCAGUCUAUAAGGGCCCAGGGCUCUGCACUGAAAGCACUAAUUGGAUUUCAUUAAAGCGAAAUAGAUUUCCUAGCACUGGAAGAGCCAGUUCAUUAAUUUCACACAUGCUCUACUGGAGGAAGGCAUGGGGAAGGGCAGCCAGCCCCAGUCUCCCCAGGCUAAGAUCAGAGCUGGGAGCCCGCUGCAGUUUGGUGCGGAGCCUGGAUUCUGAGCACCUGCUCCAAGCCAGUGCCUGGGCUGGCCAUCGGGGGUGCAGUGAUGAACCAGAUACAACCACCGCCUCCGGUAACUCGGUCUUGGAGGAGGCAGCCACACAAGGCAGGGCGUGCACAGUGUCAGGGUGCUGGACAAGGAUGUGUUCCAGGUACUGGACAUCCAGUGGAGCAGACCGACCUGGUGCUGGAGCUGAGAAGAGUGGUCUGGGCCGGAAUUUUAAAUUGGGGACAUUUGAACAUAUAAAAGAUGGUCAAUGCCCCGGUCCGGAGGACGUCACCAGGGGAGAGAGUAGGAGGAGCGGGGUCAUCUUAGUUCUUUCUUCCUCUCAGAGCAAGAAUUCCUUCCACACCUUCCACUGACAGGUGGCUCCCCAGCCCCUGCUUGCAUGCUCCAAUGACAGGGAGCUCACUACCAGCCAAGCCAGUCCUGCCUGCUUUUGGAAGUUCUGGCUGUUAGUUAAAUUCUUUUGUAUGCGGACCAAAGUCUCCCUUCCCUUUUGAUUUUACUCCUUUGUUCUGAUUCCAUCUUCUGGAGACCCGGCCCAUCCAGUCGGCUCCCUCUUUGCCAUAAUCUGCUAGAACCCACAGAUGUGGUUCACCACACCUUCCUUCUUCUCCGAUAGUGGGGCCCUGGGUUUCUUCUGAGGGUACCGCACCGUCCCCACUGCCGUCUCCCAUCCCAGGAAGCGACAAAGUCUUGUUUUAACUUCUGAACUGUGGCCUUAGAGACCAGAAGAGGGGACACUUAAAACUAAGAGACUUCCCUUCUGUGUCUUUAUUAAACACACCCAGUUCCUUCUGCCACUCUUAGCUGCCUCAGUGGCUACCCCAGAUAUUUUUGUCUCUGGGUUGGGGUCUCCACG